UACGAAGGGAGCUAGCGUUGUUCGGAAUCACUGGGCGUAAAGCGCACGUAGGCGGAUUUGUAAGUCAGGGGUGAAAUCCCGGGGCUCAACCUCGGAACUGCCUUUGAUACUGCAAAUCUCGAGUCCGAUAGAGGUGGGUGGAAUUCCUAGUGUAGAGGUGAAAUUCGUAGAUAUUAGGAAGAACACCGGUGGCGAAGGCGGCCCACUGGAUCGGUACUGACGCUGAGGU
rnacentral:rRNA from 1 species